CUGGGUUGAGGAAGAGAGGAGUCUAGGUGUUGAUGCUUGGCUGUGUGUGGUAAAGCAAAUGAAAGAAGAAAUUGAAGCAAAUCUUUAACCAAGCUAUCGUUUCCAUCCAAAGCAUCAGAAAUUGUUGAUGCUAAUGAAGAGAAAGACAUUGACCCAUGGGUAAUUUCGAGAGUGUGAAGGUAUUUUGAAGGAAGGACAGAGAAGACGGGAUGGAUAGAGAGGAAAGGAG
rnacentral:misc_RNA from 1 species